rnacentral:rRNA from 1 species
GACGAACGCUGGCGGCGUGCUUAACACAUGCAAGUCGAACGGAAAGGCACUGCUUUUGUGGGGUGCUCGAGUGGCGAACGGGUGAGUAACACGUGAGUAACCUGCCCUUGACUUUGGGAUAACUUCAGGAAACUGGGGCUAAUACCGGAUAGGAGCUCCUGCUGCAUGGUGGGGGUUGGAAAGUUUCGGCGGUUGGGGAUGGACUGGCGGCUUAUCAGCUUGUUGGUGGGGUAGUGGCUUACCAAGGCUUUGACGGGUAGCCGGCCUGAGAGGGUGACCGGCCACAUUGGGACUGAGAUACGGCCCAGACGCCUACGGUAGGCAGCGGUGGGGAAUAUUGCACAAUGGGCGGAAGCCUGAUGCAGCAACGCCGGGUGCGGGAUGACGGCCUUCGGGUUGUAAACCGCUUUCGCCUGUGACGAAGCGUGAGUGACGGUAAUGGGUAAAGAAGCACCGGCUAACUACGUG